rnacentral:rRNA from 1 species
AACCGCAUGGUUCAAAAGUGAAAGACGGUCUUGCUGUCACUUAUAGAUGGAUCCGCGCUGCAUUAGCUAGUUGGUAAGGUAACGGCUUACCAAGGCAACGAUGCAUAGCCGACCUGAGAGGGUGAUCGGCCACACUGGAACUGAGACACGGUCCAGACUCCUACGGGAGGCAGCAGUAGGGAAUCUUCCGCAAUGGGCGAAAGCCUGACGGAGCAACGCCGCGUGAGUGAUGAAGGUCUUCGGAUCGUAAAACUCUGUUAUUAGGGAAGAACAUAUGUGUAAGUAACUGUGCACAUCUUGACGGUACCUAAUCAGAAAGCCACGGCUAACUACGUGCCAGCAGCCGCGGUAAUACGUAGGUGGCAAGCGUUAUCCGGAAUUAUUGGGCGUAAAGCGCGCGUAGGCGGUUUUUUAAGUCUGAUGUGAAAGCCCACGGCUCAACCGUGGAGGGUCAUUGGAAACUGGAAAACUUGAGUGCAGAAGAGGAAAGUGGAAUUCCAUGUGUAGCGGUGAAAUGCGCAGAGAUAUGGAGGAACACCAGUGGCGAAGGCGACUUUCUGGUCUGUAACUGACGCUGAUGUGCGAAAGCGUGGGGAUCAAACAGGAUUAGAUACCCUGGUAGUCCACGCCGUAAACGAUGAGUGCUAAGUGUUAGGGGGUUUCCGCCCCUUAGUGCUGCAGCUAACGCAUUAAGCACUCCGCCUGGGGAGUACGACCGCAAGGUUGAAACUCAAAGGAAUUGACGGGGACCCGCACAAGCGGUGGAGCAUGUGGUUUAAUUCGAAGCAACGCGAAGAACCUUACCAAAUCUUGACAUCCUUUGACAACUCUAGAGAUAGAGCCUUCCCCUUCGGGGGACAAAGUGACAGGUGGUGCAUGGUUGUCGUCAGCUCGUGUCGUGAGAUGUUGGGUUAAGUCCCGCAACGAGCGCAACCCUUAAGCUUAGUUGCCAUCAUUAAGUUGGGCACUCUAAGUUGACUGCCGGUGACAAACCGGAGGAAGGUGGGGAUGACGUCAAAUCAUCAUGCCCCUUAUGAUUUGGGCUACACACGUGCUACAAUGGACAAUACAAAGGGCAGCGAAACCGCGAGGUCAAGCAAAUCCCAUAAAGUUGUUCUCAGUUCGGAUUGUAGUCUGCAACUCGACUACAUGAAGCUGGAAUCGCUAGUAAUCGUAGAUCAGCAUGCUACGGUGAAUACGUUCCCGGGUCUUGUACACACCGCCCGUCACACCACGAGAGUUUGUAACACCCGAAGCCGGUGGAGUAACCUUUUAGGAGCUAGCCGUCGAAGGUGGGACAAAUGAUUGGGGUGAAGUCGUAACAAGGUAGCCGUAUCGGAAGGUGCGGCUGGGUCACCUCCUUUCUAAGGA